rnacentral:tRNA from 1 species
GGGAGUAUAGCUCAGUGGUAGGGCACAUGCACAAGGUCCUGGGUUCAAUCCCUAGUACCUCCA